GGGACGAGAGGGCCUGACGUACAGAUUAUAAGCGCCAUGGCUAUGGCUAGUGUUAAAUUGCUUGCCGGUGUUUUAAGAAAGCCAGAUGCCUGGAUUGGACUCUGGGGUGUUCUCCGAGGGACACCUUCAUCAUACAAACUCUGUACUUCCUGGAAUCGAUACUUGUAUUUUUCUAGUACCAAGUUACGUGCACCAAAUUAUAAAACACUUUUUUAUAAUAUUUUCUCACUGAGACUCCCAGGGCUUUUACUAUCUCCAGAAUGUAUUUUUCCUUUUUCCGUAAGACUCAAAAGUAAUAUAAGGUCUACAAAAUCUACUAAAAAGUCUCUGCAAAAAGUAGAUGAAGAGGACUCUGAUGAAGAAAGCCAUCAUGAUGAGAUGAGUGAGCAGGAAGAGGAGCUUGAGGAUGAUCCUACUGUAGUCAAAAACUAUAAAGACCUGGAAAAAGCAGUUCAGUCUUUUCGGUAUGAUGUUGUCCUGAAGACGGGGCUAGAUAUUGGGAGAAAAUGAGCAAACUGAUUUCCAAAGAAGUCAAGUGACUGCCUGCAAAUCCUAUGUGCCAUAUUUGAAUCUAAGACACAGUUGACUGUAAGAUGAACCAUUGAUUUAAAAACAGCUUCUUGAGGAGAAAAUGAAUCACCAUAUUAGAUGUAUGUAGCAAACGUAAAAUGUACCUGGAUAUUUCACAAAUGCUAUAAUGUGAGACGGUACCUCAGCUGGGCAUGGUGACUCAUGCCUGUAAUCCCAGCACUUUGAGAGGCUGAGCUGGGCGGAUCACAAGGUCAGGAGUUCAAGACCAGCUUGGCCAAUAUGGUGAAACCCUGUCUCUACUAAAAAUACAAAAAUUAGCCGGGCGAGGUGGCAGGCGCCUGUAGUCCCAGCUGCUUGAGAGGCUGAGGCAGGAGAGUCACUUGAACCCGGGAGGCAGAGGUUGCAGUGAGCCGAGAUCGCGCCACUGCACUCCAGCCUGGGUAACAGAGUGAGACUCCAUCUG
rnacentral:lncRNA from 1 species